rnacentral:rRNA from 1 species
CCUUGGAUUUGGUGAUGGCAUCCUGAGAGGCCUGGGCCUCCUCCACAGACAAGGCGGCGGCGCGCUUGGCGGCGGUGAUCUGAGCGCCAGUUCAAGGGUAGAUGAUGUGCGCAAGGAAGGAAAGAUGCAGACAAACAACACUGAAGACGUCUUGAAAGCGCAUGAUGAGAUUGAGUUCCCAGAGAUGGUAGAGCCCCUGAGGGCUGCAUUGGAAG